rfam:Tupaia chinensis contig96715, whole genome shotgun sequence.
AGCACAUGGGCCCGCGGGCCCGGCAGCUCUGGGCGGCCGGGACGCGGAGGAGCAGCGAGGAGCCGGGAGCAGAGAUGGGCCCCGACACCCCUGGGCACCCGUUGAGUGGAUUUCCGCGCGGGACGGAUGUUGGCGUACCCGGUGACCUGCGGAGACCCGGCUGGAUCCAGCCUCCA